rnacentral:lncRNA from 1 species
CCACUCUGUAAAUUGUAGCUCUGUGAGGGUAACAGAGGAGUCUCCUAAAAACUGGCAGCAUCCCGAAAAAGCCACACUUCACAAGAUUAUCAGUGGGAGGCAAUGACUUUUUAAAAGUGAUAUAAUGCUGCUGGUAAAUGAUAUAUAAUGAAAUGAAAAUGAUGUCUAGAUUAACGUUUGUAAAAAAACAACAACCCAGAAGCCUUUCUUCUGGGAAUUAUAGGGAUAGAACUGCCUAAAUUGUAUAGAAAUUUAUUCAUGUAAGCGACUACAGCAGCAAGAAUGUUACUUGUCCAAAAAUAGAAAGGAGAAGAAGUCCCAGCAAAGGAAGAAGGGAUACAAAACCUUAUGGAAUAUGCAGAAAUGGUGAAACUUACCAGAAGAAUAAGAAAUCAAAAUAACAAACUUUUUGUAAAAGAAUGGAAAUGGUUUAUUGAAUAUUUACAGAUAAAUUGUAAACAGAUAAAAACACUGGCAGGAUUAUUGUAACAACCUGCAGCUAUAUAAAAGUAUAUAUAUAAAGAAGAUAAAUAAAUGAGUAAGUUAAGUUAAUUUGGAUAUGCAGAAGAUAUUAAAAAUAAAUUUAAGGAACUGCAGAAAGCGGGGAAAGGAAGUCAAGCUUUAAAAUGCCAGAAUGAAUGUAAAAUCAGUGAAAUGUAUAUAUAUGAAAAGUAUAAAUAUUUUUUAAAAAUAAUAAUGCAGCAUUAAAUGUAUAGUGCAGAUGAGGACUAACUCAUACUCAGAGUCGACCCACUGAAAUUAAUCAGCACAAUUCUUUUUUAGGCCCUAUCCAUGCUAUACAUUUAAAACAAUAUCCUAGUUUAAACAGGCAUGGCUUCCCCCAAAUGAUCCUUGGAACUGUAAUUUGUUCAGGGUCCUGAGAGUUGUUAGCAGACCCCAAUUCCCCACAGGGCUACAGUUCUCUGAGUUCCCAGGGAAGAAGAGGGAUUGGCAUUUAAACCACUCAGGUUGUCAAUGUUUGGCCGGGAUCCUGAAGUAGGCUAUUGCCUGUAAGGUAAAUAAAACAACUUCGCCAUCUGCUGGACACUCAGGAAUUGCACGCAUGCAUUUUUUAUCUCCAGAACCAGCUCUGUUCCCCAAUUCCUCAAAAGUUUUCUUCUUCCUCAUUCAUAAGAACGUAAGAAGAGCCUGCUAGUCCAGCAGCCUAUUCUCACAGUGGGCAACCAGAUGCCUGUGAGAAAACCGCACGCAGGAUUCGAAUACAAGAUCACUCUCCUCUCCUGUGGUCUUCAGAAACUGGUCUUCAGAAGCAUUACUGCAUCUGAACCGUGGAGGCAGACAGUAGUCAUCAUGGCUUGUAGCCACUGUCCUCACAGGGCUCUUGAGAAUAUCAGUCAGUGUUUGAAAUUUGCACUUCUCCAAAAUUUGCAAUUGAAUUCCCCAGCCACGCAACAUCUGCAAAAGAUGCAUAUAUUAGGGUAAAGUGUGAAAAAACUCAUGUAUUUAGUGAAAGUAAGAAAUACAUUAUACGAGCGGGAAAUUUGCUCUGCAAAAAUGUGCAGAUUAGGCAAGACUGUGUGCAAAAAAUAUGAAUAUGAAAAGGAAUUCACAAUAAAAUACCGAUGAAUUUUCAUCUGGACUUUUUUUUUUAAAGCAAAUUGAUGUGGAAAUGUGGAGAACUGAUCCUAAGUUUGGAAAAGUUGAAAAACAGAGAGAAACCGGUACUGGCCUACGUGAAUUAGGUUGGUUUGCCUUUAAAUGCAAACUGAUUCUAAUUUCUCCCUCAUCCCCUACCAAGGCUAGGAGAAGAGGAUGUGUUUGCUAUUUGUUUGAGCUCAGGUGGCUGCAGUUUAACUACCGGACUGGGCACUUGCUGAAACAGGAACAAGGAAGUGAAAGCGGGUGGCACACCUACUGAAAACCAGAGAACAGCAAAACCUCACGAAGGAAUACCUGCAGGUAACAAUAUAUAGUUUUGUCACUUGCCAUUUAAGCAGUUGAUUUUCUAGGUUUCGUGUUGGUCACUUUGAGGAAGCCACUUCCUAAUUUUGUUUUACUUCUCUAAGCCAAGUUAAUCUCCUUCCUCUGCUCAGUUUUGUGGGUGGUUCUUGAGACCUGGCAGGUCCUAGGAAGGAAAGUAGAACAAGGAAGCAUCUGAGAGGGCUGAACAGAAGGUAAGGGGCACAGCACUGUGCCAGGUGCCAGAGGCUUGGUGAUCUGGAGUUGCUUAUAUUUUGCUGCACCCUGAAAACUGCAAAAAUGAGUGUAUGAGAACUAUUCUUUUGGCCUGACUGGCAAACCAGCAAUUGGCCAGGUAACCAGUAUCGGAGUCUAGCACAAUCCAGCCAGGGGCAGCUUCAGGUUUGAGAAAUGGGAUGCGGGUGGCGCUGUGCUCUAAACCACUGAGCCUCUUGGGCUUGCUGAUCGGAAGGUCGGUGGUUCGAAUCCCCGCAACAGGGUGAGCUCCCGUUGCUGUGUCCCAGCUCCUGCCAACCUAGCAGUUUGAAAGCACGCCAGUGCAAGUAGAUAAAUAGGUACUGCUGCGGCAGGAAGGUAAACGGCAUUUCCAUGAGCUCUGGCUUCCGUCAUGGUGUCCCGUUGCUCCAAAAGCAGUUUAGUCAUGCUGGUCACAUGACCCAGAAAGCACAUGACCUGGUCACAUGACCCGGACAAACACUGGCUCCCUUGGCCUGAAAGCGAGAUGAGCGCUGCAACCUCGUAGUCACCUUUGACUGGACUUAACCAUCCAGGGGUCCUUUACCUUUACCAUACCAGGUUUGAGUGCAAAGUAUCCUCCAGUUGGACUCCUCCUGUGUUUGUGGAGCUGAUGGGAGUUGCUGUUCAAAAUAUCUGGAGGGCAGCAGUUUAGGGAAGGCUUCUCUCUCCCUCUCUCUCUCCCUCUCUCUCUCCCUCCCUCCCUCCUUGUUCCGAUUUAUAUACCACUUGAUUAUUUUAAAAAAGGUGGGAUGUGAGACAAACAAAAACAGGAAUGUGGUGAUACAGAAUUUGAAUGUUUUGAAGCAUUUCACAUGUCAGUCUUGUCUCAUGUUUAUUUUUUAUUUUUUUGUGGGAUAAGUGAAGUUCAUGGAUUUAUAUAUUUUUUUAGUUGGAGGACUCCUAAAUUGUCAUCAUUUAGGAGCAAGUCCGUCUGUGGGUUGGCCAUGGACCUGUGGAAUGCUUAAAGGAGGCUUUAAAAUAUAAUUUUUGUUCAUCGUAAAACAAACUGAACAAUUUUUCAGUUUUGCUUACCCUUUUGGAUCACGCCAAAUUUUGCAAGGGGAAAUGUGUCUAAAAUGCAUGUUUUAGUGGUAAUGCAUGCAAUUAGAAUGUGAGGUUUUGUGCAUUUUUCAUUUUAAAAAGAGGAAAUGGGACAGAGUGGACUAAAGACUAUAAACACAUUCGAAACUGACACGGGUUGGGAAUAAUCCAUCCCAAGUGCAAAAAGGGCACAGGGUUCCAAUAUGUUAGACUGCUAGAAACAUAGGAAGCUGACUGAUACUGAAUUUGACCAUUGUUCCAUCUAUCUCAGUAUUGCUUGCACUGACUGGCAGCAGCUCUCUAGGAUUUCAGGCAGAGGACAUUCCCAGUGAAAUGUUGAGAUGCUGGGGAUUGAACUUGGGUCGUUCUGUAUGCAAAUUGCAAAGCAUGUGCUCUACCACCUUUCCCCUAAAGCAAGUUUCCAGACCUCAUUAUACUGGUUAAGGUGCCAUUUGAAAUAGAAGCAUAGGAAGUUACUGUGUCAGACCAUAGGUCCAUCUAGCUCAGCAUUGUGGACACUGACUGGCAGUUGAUCUCCAGGGUUUCUGGCAGGGAGUUUCUCCAAGCCCCAUCAGGAGAUGCUAGGAUUGAACCUGGGACCUGUCUGCAUGCCAAACAGACACUGUACCACUGAGCUACAUGCCUUCUCUUAUCUUCUUUUUCUUUAUCUACAGAUAAAACAGAACGUCAGAAAGGGGGCUACAGACAACCAAGUAUGGCUUCCUCAGGGAAAGAUUUUGGCCAAGAGCUAAGUGAUCAGAUCCACGAUGUACUGAACCGACUGGAAAGCAAGCAGAUGUUCCAGACUGCCUGGGACAUUGCGGCAUUUGCCAUUUUCUUUUCUUUCAUUGGUAAGUUGGAGGGUGUGGCGGGGAAAUGAGAAGGGGCAAAAAAUGGUUGCUUUUCACAGCUGAUAUUGUUUUUUCUCUAGACCUUGAGCCAUGUCCCUUGAGGAUUUGGACAGAUCGCUAUGGCUCAAGCUGCUUUGGUUGUUGACGCAGAAAAUCCAAAUGGCCCCAUCCCAUAGUGGUGCAAAAAAUAUAGAUUAUAUAUUGGAAGAAACUGAAUUUUAAAUAACUAAAGCAGCCUUGCUGAAGCUAAGCAGGGCAGGGUUUAAUCAGUGCCUGGAGCUGGGAGCCCCCUCAAUGUCUGUUUGAGCUCCAUAAAAGAAAGGUGGGAUGUACAUUACUAAAGUUGUCUCCACUGAACCAUUUAACAGUACCGUAAAAUGUGUGUCCUAGGACAGGCUACAGCUCUUCUUUGUGGGCUGGCCCCACUUUUCUAGACAGGGAACUCAGAAACUGAUGCAUCCAAGCUAUCACCUUUACUGAGACAGACCAGCUCCCUUUUGACUCUUCCUCAAAUUAUCUAGUGGCAGCCAUUCUGUCAGGCUGCUUCCAUCUCAGUUGGUCAUUAUAACUUUUAAGAACUGGUGCCUGAGCUUUUCCCCUCGCUCCUCCCCUCUUUUUCCUCAAGUGCCAUGUAUUUUAGAUUGCAAGCCAGACAACAGGGGCAGAUGAUCUUUGUGAGCUGCACCAGCAGCCUAUUUUGACUGAAGAGCAUGGAAGAAAACGCUUUAAACAACAAUUCUUUUUGUCUUCCAGGUGUGGUUCUCUUCAUGGCCCUCAUUGUUCUUAUCCGCUGCUUUUGCUGUUGCUGUGAUUGCGAUUCAUAUGAGAAGGUGAACAUUUUCUGGUAUUAUAUUCCCACACUUAGAGCAGGGAUCCUCAAUUUUUUUGGGACCUGGGAGCACAUUUGGAAAUCUAAUUAAUUACCAUGGGCACCACAAUAAACCCAUUUCAGAGAGGAAAACCUGGUGAUGCUCAUAACUCCCCCCCCCCCAAAAAACACCCUACACCCCCUGAAACAAAUGAAGAGGUGAAAGAGGCAAUAUUUCCCAAAAAACAGGUACCCCCCACCAAACUCCUUUUUAAAAAAAUUGUUUUGAAAAAAUGAGCAGGGGAGCAUAUGAGGUCAUCAUGAUCUUGGGAUGUGAGAAAAGGGUAAUAUGGCAUUAACAGAUCACUUGGGCUAGAAGCAGAUCCGGGCUCAAAUACACAGCAUAGCGCUGUAGGCUGCAUUCACACAAACAGGGGCAAUGUGCAUUCCACACCCUUGCCAUGGUUUACUGCUUGAGAUUCUAAAACCUUGCUUUCCUGUACACAGGUCCCCAGGAAAAAGGCUGGCAUUGUUAACCAGGGGAUGGAGCUGUAGUUUUGCCAUGACUGAUCACCUAAGCAACCAGGAAGAGGACCAAAUAUUUGUGCUUUUCCUGGAUUUUCUCAUCUGCACUGGAAUUAACUGUAAAUUGGACCUUGCCUGGGGAGGCAUGUAUGAUUAGGGAGGUACUGGAGGCCAGAUGCACCAAUUGUGACAAUAUUUAGCCCACAUCUGAUUGCAUAUUAAACUGAAUAGUCAAACCC